UCAUCGAAGAGGUGGUGGUGCUUCUCGACAGAGAGUUGGGCAAAGACAAAGGGAAAGAGGUGAUGGUGCUCCUCAACAGAGAGGUGGUCUUCAGAGAAAUGUAGGCAGGAGACAACGCACCAUCAUCUCUAAUGAAGUCCGGGCCAUCAUUGUUGACCAGAUGGUAAACAGAGGCUUUACCAUGUCUGAGGCUGCCAGAAUUAACAGGGAACAACCUAGUGGUGGUCGCCCACGUGCAGGAGUUGGCUGUGGUGGAAAUGGUCAGGGGAAGGAAUGACAUACGGCUGUCUGAAAUCAAACAGGCUAUUGAGAACAGCAAUGACACCUUUGCCAAUGUGCCAUCAAUUAGCCUUCCAACGAUUGCCCGGCUUUUGAAAAAGCACCAGAGGGUGAUGGAGCUGGACACUGCUGUGAAUCAUCACAAGUAUAUUUUUGUUGAUGAGGCCGGUUUCAAUCUGGCAAAAACUAAACGCAGAGGACGUAAUCUUAUUGGACAAAGGGCAACCAUCCAAGUGGCUGGACAACGUGGGGAAAACAUCUUAAUGUGUGCAGCUAUAUCUGAAGAUGGUGUGGUAGGCUGUAGACCAGUUCUAAAGUCAUACAACACUAAACACCUGAUAGUUUUUUUAAAUGAGCUUGAGCAGUCCUGUCAGGGAGGAGACAUUAUCUAUGUUGUGUGGGACAAUGUCAGCUUCCACCAUGCACAGCUGGUUCAGGAAUGGUUUCAAACACAUCCUCGCUUCAUGACCCUCUAUCUUCCACCAUAUUCCCCUUUACUCAACACAAUUGACGAAUUCUUCUCUACAUGGAGGUGGAAGGUGUAUGAUCGCCAUCCCCAUGAGCAUGUCUCCCUUCUUCAAGUCAUGUGUGAAGCUUGUGGUGAUAUAACUGCUGAGCAAUGUCAAGCCUGGAUUCGUAAUGCCAGAGAUUUUUCCC